rnacentral:rRNA from 1 species
GAUGAACGCUAGCGGCAGGCCUAACACAUGCAAGUCGAGGGGUAGAAGGAGCUUGCUCCUUUGAGACCGGCGCACGGGUGCGUAACGCGUAUGCAAUCUACCUUGUACAGGGGAAUAGCCCAGAGAAAUUUGGAUUAAUGCCCCAUAGUAUAUAACCUUCGCAUGUUGGUUAUAUUAAAGUUCCAACGGUACAAGAUGAGCAUGCGUCCCAUUAGUUAGUUGGUAAGGUAACGGCUUACCAAGACGAUGAUGGGUAGGGGUCCUGAGAGGGAGAUCCCCCACACUGGUACUGAGACACGGACCAGACUCCUACGGGAGGCAGCAGUGAGGAAUAUUGGUCAAUGGUCGCAAGACUGAACCAGCCAUGCCGCGUGCAGGAAGACGGUCCUAUGGAUUGUAAACUGCUUUUAUACAGGAAGAAACCCUCCCACGUGUGGGAGCUUGACGGUACUGUAGGAAUAAGGAGCGGCUAACUCCGU